rfam:Salmo salar isolate Sally breed double haploid chromosome ssa08, whole genome shotgun sequence.
UGCACUCACUACUGUAAGUCACUCUGGAUAAGAGUGUCUGCUAAAUGACUAAAA